CUCCAUUCUCCUACUCGUAUUUCCAAACAUCAUUCCAAUAUAUCCUCUAAAGAAUCCUUCAAUACUUUAGCUAGCUUUCCAUAUUUUCAUAAUAUCUUUACCUGAAGAUGAAGUCAUGCAUUGCAUAUUCAAUUCUCUUGGCAUUUCUUAUAUUAAUUAUUUACUCUCAAUCAGGUGAAUGUUACAAAUGGACGAAGAUAUGCAAGGAUGAGAAGGUGGCAACGUUACCAUUCAAAUGUUCGAAGGGUUUGUGUGACGAAUAUUGUGUAAAGAAACACUAUGAUAGCCCGAAAGCUUGGGGAAAAUGCAAUGAUAACGAUGCACAUGUGUGUCAAUGCUUCUACAUUUGUUUCGACGACACUCCUCUGCCAUCUCCUAUGCCAUUCAACAAUAACAAUAACCACCAACAAAAUUUAAAUCCAUAGGUUUUAUAUUUAUUACAUUUUACAUUUAUAAAAUAAUAAUGCUAACAUUCUAAGAUUUCUAUUUCAUGGUGUUUUUUUUAUCAAGUUAUUAAGUACAAAUAAACUAUAGCAUCAAAUAUGAACAUAGGCACACUCAUAAUUUUAUUAUCCUAACCAAUUGCCUGUUGAAUUAGUGGUGAUUGGUACUGAACUUGGUAGGGAGGAUCCGU